GUGUUAUAGUGUUUGCAUUAUUGACGCAAUCAUUGACUGAAUCAGUGUUUGUGUUGAUCUCAAGUCAUGUCAAUCAUCGCCGAAACGGACGACUCAUUGAGUGUAGUGUUAAGUGAAGAGCACUUAUUGUCCACAUUUGAGCCAUUCUUGAGAUCGUUGGACACAUCGGUUGAGUCGGUGAUCGCCGCACAACAAUCACUGGCCGACCAAUUGAUUCAAUUACAACAACUCAUACAACAUAUUGAACGCAAUCCAGAUGUGAGUCAAGUCAUUGAAGACAAGACAACUCGUAUCAAGACUUUGAAGCGAAGACUAACUCUUAUCCAUAGCAUUGUCCAGAAUUCACAGCAACGCAUCCGAAGACUUAUCAAACAAUUACCUAAUAAUUAAAACAUUCCGUUAUCUUAACAAUUGAUCCAUUUGUGGUGAUAAUGAGUGCCACUAAACGCAAAUCAGACUCAAAUGUGAUGAUUGAAACUGACGAAGACGUGUAUUAUUUGAUCGCUAAAGAGUGUAUGGAUUCACUUAUCGAUUCAAUUGAAGGCCAAUUCAAUAACAAUACCAUUACUGAUGUUAAUUGUGAAACCACUUCAAUCGAUGCUAACAAUGAUGAAGAACUUUGUAGCGAAAUUUGGGACGACUUAGACUUUGAUACCAAUUGUCUUAAUAAUUAUCAAAUGAUAUCAAACCACUCAUUGCCAUCUAAUGUUAAUAAGAUGUGUUGCACUUCAUUUGAUGCCAAUUAUCAAUUUAAACAACAAUAUGAGUUACUCUCAGACCAAUUGACGACCAAAGCAACAGCUAAGCCGCCUAUAGACGCGACACGAGUGGCCACUCAAUUGCUAUUGGAUUUGGACGCUAUUAAUGAUGCCAUUAUUGGAUUAAAACACCGAUUGAGUGGACCCGUUGUCAAUAAAUUCAAACAUUAAGUUUUGUUUUUCAUUUGUUUUUUGUUAAAUUGUUUAUUCAAGUUAUUUAUUCA